GGGGAUUUAGCUCAGUGGCAUAAGCGCCUGCCUUGAAAGCAGGCAUUCGUGAGUUCAAACCUCG
rnacentral:tRNA from 1 species